rnacentral:rRNA from 1 species
ACGGGUGAGUAAUGCUUAGGAAUCUGCCCAGUAGUGGGGGACAACAGUCGGAAACGGCUGCUAAUGCCGCAUACGCCCUACGGGGGAAAGCAGGGGAUCUUCGGACCUUGCGCUAUUGGAUGAGCCUAAGUCGGAUUAGCUAGUUGGUGGGGUAAAGGCCUACCAAGGCGACGAUCCGUAGCUGGUCUGAGAGGAUGAUCAGCCACAUCGGGACUGAGACACGGGCCGAACUCCUACGGGAGGCAGCAGUGGGGAAUAUUGGACAAUGGGGGCAACCCUGAUCCAGCCAUGCCGCGUGUGUGAAGAAGGCUUUCGGGUUGUAAAGCACUUUCAGCGAGGAGGAAGGCCUUAAAGUUAAUACCUUUAAGGAUUGACGUUACUCGCAGAAGAAGCACCGGCUAACUCCGUGCCAGCAGCCGCGGUAAUACGGAGGGUGCAAGCGUUAAUCGGAAUUACUGGGCGUAAAGCGCGCGUAGGUGGUUUGGUAAGCGAGAUGUGAAAGGCCCGGGGCUUA